CCGCGUGACUUUGUAAGUGGUCUCCGUGUGCCAAAAUAGGCCACGGGCAAAGCCGCGCACAAAAAUAACUGAACGAAGGCCGGGGCGCCAAGUUCGUCCAGCGGAAAAACGCCACAAAAACAGGUGGGCUAUAGCCUUGGGGGGUGGGGCUGGCCAACUUGGUCCGCCGGACUCGGAAUGCCGCGAGACUUUGCAAGGGGCCUCCGUGUGCCAAAAAUAGGCCACGGUCAAAGCCGAGCCCAAAAAUAACCCCCCGAAGGCCGGGGCGCCAUGUUCGUCCUGCGGAAAAAGGCCACAAAAACGGGUGGGCUAUAGCCUUGGGGGGUGAUGGCGGCCAACUUCAUCCGCCAGACUCGGAAUAACGCGAGACUUUGUGAGGGGCCUUCGUGUGCCAAAAAUAGGCCGCGGACAAAGGCGCGCCCAAAAAUAACCGCCCGAAGGCCGGGGCGCCAUGUUCGUCCAGCGGAAAAAGGCCACAAAAACGGGUGGGCUAUAGCCUUGGCGGGUGGGGCAGGCCAACUUCGUCCGCCGGACUCGGAAUGCCGCGAGACUUUGUAAGGGGUCUCCGUGUGCCAAAAAUAGGCCACGGGCAAAGCCGCGCCCAAAAUUAACGCCCCGAAGGCCGGAACGCCAAGUUCGUCCAGCGGAAAAAGGCCACAAAAACGGGUGGGCUAUAGCCUUGGGGGGUGGGGCUGGCCAACUUCGUCCGCCGGACUUGGAAUGUCGCGAGACUUUGCGAGGGGACUCCGUGUGACAAAAAUA
rnacentral:lncRNA from 1 species